ensembl:ncRNA hpRNA:CR33940 hairpin RNA:CR33940
CCUAUCGAUAGUUUCCUAUCACGCUGCCACCACCAUCAUUUUUGACAUACAUUUGCAAAUUUAUUUCGUCAAGUGAUCACAUGUUGAUAAUUUAGAUGAUGACCUGCGCAGCAGCAGAGGCGCAGCUGAUUGGAGCGGAGUUGGCCAAACGCGAAGGGUAGGCCAAAGAAGCAGCAGCGUACUUGGCCACCACUGGAGCAGCAACGGAAGCAAUCUCAGAAGCAGCAUCGAUUCCAUUGUUGUUCCUGGCGAUACUGGUGGCGGUCACAGGUGGAGUGGGAGCAGUUACCACGGCAGCGAGAGCAGAGUAGUCUAGAGGAGCAGAGUAAGCCAGAGGACCAGUGUACGCCAGGGCAGCACCCAGGAGAUCGGGCUUGGCAGCAGCGCAGGCGACGGUUAUCAGGACAAGGACGGCCUGUUAACAAAUCAGCUUGAUUAGCUUAAUCCUCUGUGGGUCCUUUCUGAAGAACUUUAUGUGAUUUCUCACUGCUAACUGCAGAAGGUGGACUAAAUGCGAUGACCUGAAGUCACAGGCGCAGCCUCGAUGCGGCGUAUAAAUAGUGGGUAGAUUAGUCCAAUAUGCUACAGGCGACAUCAGGUUCAAGUUUUCGAACCGAAAGCACCAGAUCCAUAAUCCAAAUGUUUAAAUCCGACGUCCUUGUCUUGGCCUGAACUGCUUGGUGCGCCUUGGCCUACAUUGCUAACGUGGCUUACUCUCCUCCUCUGGUCUGACUGUCGUAGUAGCUGGUCUCUCUCCAGUUGUGACCGCUGCCAGUUGUCAGGUUAAUGAAUGAAAUCGCUCUUGCUCCUGUGAUUGCUCCCGUGGCUGCUCCUCUGGCUGUGUCUCUCUUGGCCCUGUACGCAGCCGCUCCUCUGGCUGCGCCAUGACCUACUCCUCGCCUUUGGCUUACUCCGCACCACUGAGCUACGCCGUUCCAUCUGCACCGCUCCUUAUUUAAAUUACUAAGCUGUGAUCACCUCGGAGACAACGGAAAUAAAUGGAUAUUCAAUUG